GUGGGGAAUCUUGCGCAAUGGGCGAAAGCCUGACGCAGCCAUGCCGCGUGAAUGAUGAAGGUCUUAGGAUUGUAAAAUUCUUUCACCGGGGACGAUAAUGACGGUACCCGGAGAAGAAGCCCCGGCUAACUUCGUGCCAGCAGCCGCGGUAAUACGAAGGGGGCUAGCGUUGCUCGGAAUUACUGGGCGUAAAGGGCGCGUAGGCGGAUCGUUAAGUCAGGGGUGAAAUCCCAGAGCUCAACUCUGGAACUGCCCUUGAUACUGGCGAUCUUGAGUGUGAGAGAGGUAUGUGGAACUCCGAGUGUAGAGGUGAAAUUCGUAGAUAUUCGGAAGAACACCAGUGGCGAAGGCGACAUACUGGCUCAUUACUGACGCUGAGGCGCGAAAGCGUGGGGAGCAAACAGGAUUAGAUACCCUAGUAGUCC
rnacentral:rRNA from 1 species